rnacentral:rRNA from 1 species
UUUCCUGGGGAAGGUUCGUCCGCCCAGGGUAAGCCGGGAGCUAAGGCGAGGCCGCGAGGCGUAGUCGAUGCACAUACGGUAGAAAUUCCGUAGCCACCUCACACGAGAAAGCUGACACAUGGAGAUAGUCGAACCCGGCCGUUGGUCGCGCCGGGCGAAAGGGACCGAACUUAUAGUAGGGAAGUCGAUGAUGCUCUGUGGCGAGAAAAGGCGAAGUGAGGUGCCCGUACCGCAAACCGACACAGGUAGAUGAGGAGAGAAUCCUAAGGCCAACGGGAGAAGGGUUGUUAAGGAACUCGGCAAAUUGACCCCGUAACUUCGGGAUAAGGGGAGCCUCCUACGGGAGGCCGCAGUGAAUAGGCCCAAGCAACUGUUUACCAAAAACACAGGUCUCUGCUAAAUCGAAAGAUGACGUAUAGGGGCUGACGCCUGCCCGGUGCCGGAAGGUUAAGAGGAGAGCUUAGCGCAAGCGAAGGUUUGAAUUGAAGCCCCGGUAAACGGCGGCCGUAACUAUAACGGUCCUAAGGUAGCGAAAUUCCUUGUCAGGUAAGUUCUGACCCGCACGAAUGGCGUAAUGAUUUGGGCACUGUCUCAACAGCCCGCCCGGCGAAAUUGUAGUACUGGUGAAGAUGCCAGUUACCCGCAACUAGACGGAAAGACCCCAUGGAGCUUUACUGCAGUUUAAUACUGGGAAUCGGUAAUGCAUGUACAGGAUAGGUGGGAGACUAGGAAGCAUGGUCGUCAGGUCAUGUGGAGUCACCGGUGGGAUACCACUCUUGUAUUGCUGAUUUCCUAACCUGCGGCCGUGAAUCCGGUCGGGGGACACUGUUAGACGGGCAGUUUGACUGGGGCGGUCGCCUCCAAAAGAGUAACGGAGGCGCUCAAAGGUUCGUUCAGCACGGACGGAAAUCGUGCAUUGAGUGUAAACGCAUAAACGAGCCUAACUGCGAGACCGACGGGUCGAGCAGUAACGAAAGUUGGAGUUAGUGAUCCGGUGGUAUGUGAGUGGAAAUGCCAUCGCUCAACGGAUAAAAGCUACCCUGGGGAUAACAGGCUGAUCUCCCCCAAGCGUCCACAGCGACGGGGAGGUUUGGCACCUCGAUGUCGGCUCGUCGCAUCCUGGGGCUGAAUUCGGUCCCAAGGGUUUGGCUGUUCGCCAAUUAAAGC